UUAAGGCAUACAGUUCAUUUGAUUAACUUGAAGUUUAAUGUAUUAACAGAAUCCUGAACAAGCCAUACUAUUGAGUCCAAACCAUAAUUUCAGAUAUUGGGUGGGGUGUCAGCAAAUUACAUAAUACACUACAUCUUGUAUAAAUCCGUCAUCACAUAGUUCUAGUAUCGAUUAAUUUCACGGACUCAACGCAAUUUCCACUUAGCUUUUUCUUGUCGUUCAAAAAUGGUCCCAGGUAAUUCAUCUCUUGACAACUUGUGGACUUCAGUUGGGUCUUCUUGUACCAAAUCUAACUGCCUAUCUUGUCGGCUUUCCAACGUACUUUCAGCUUGCUGUAGACUCCGUGAUGAUCUGAUUCUAGUCUCAAACAGAUACCCAAUACUUCCAACGACAAAUGCACAUGGAAACACAAUGUACGGUGCAUAUGCGCGCAUGGUACUCAAUAUUAAUGGCCACAUUUUUAUUUGUGAUUUUUCCAAUAUUUGUCUUUAGUACAUAUCCAGUAAAUGAUCAAACACAGAAAUAAACCAUUAAGGAUUUAUUCAAAGGUAUUUCCUUGAAAUAUAUAUUGUUUUUCCACCAAUUUUCCAGCAAAAAUGCAAGCCAAUCGACUUUUAUGUCUUCACGUUUAAAAUAGAAGGGAUGAGGAACUUCAUGUAACAUGAAUAUAAUGGUUUAAAGUCACAACACAGCGAACCCUAAAAUUUUAUCACCAAUGUUUACAAUAUGGCUGCCAAAAUUCUUAGAAUGCAUUUCACCAAAG